CUGGGCCACAGUAUAACACGGGUGAGCCUUGGACGCCCGCCUGCCUCAUUCACUCAUGACACACAGCUGAGCAGGCCUUGGGCCCUGGGCCCCGACCCAGCACCGGGAACAAACAACACUGGCAAAGAUCCCGGGCCCUGCAGCUGGGGGACCAAGUCUGGGGCUGCCUGGCACUAAGGAGGGUCUUGGGUCAGAGUGUCAGUGCUGACACCAGGACAGUCCCAGGCAAACUGGGAUCAUGGAGCUGACCUUUGCAUGAGAGAGACAACCAGAGCCAAGUGACAUAAGCUGGAGUGCAGUGGCAUGAUCUCGGCUUGCUACAACCUCCACCUCCCAGCCGCCUGCCUUGGCCUCCCAAAGUGCUAAGAUUACAGCCUCUGUCCAGCCGCCACCCCGUCUAGGAAGUGAGGAGCGCCUCUGCCCGGCCGCCCAUUGUCUGGGAUGUGAGGAGCGCCUCUGCCCGGCUGCCCCGUCUGGGAGGUGAGGAGCGCCUCUGCCCGGCCGCCCAUCGUCUGGGAGGUGAGGAGCGCCUCUGCCCAGCCGCCACCCUAUCUAGGAAGUGAGGAGCGCCUCUGCCCGGCUGCCCCGUCUGGGAAGUGAGGAGCGUCUCUGCCUGGCCACCGCCCGUCUGGGAAGUGAGGAGUGCCUCUGCCUGGCCGCUGUGCAAUCUUCCAAGUGUGAAGUGACAGCCUUUCUGCAGGUGUAUCCAACAGCUGUGAAGAGACAGCGACCAUCGAGAACGGGCCAUGAUGACGAUGGCGGUUUUGUCAAAAAGAAAAGGGGGAAAUGUGGGGAAAAGAAAGAGAGAUCAGAUUGUUACUGUGUCUGUGUAGAAAGAAGUAGACAUAGGAGACUCCAUUUUCUGUACUAAGAAAAUUCUUCUGCCUUGGGAUGCUGUUAAUCUAUAACCUUACCCCCAACCCCGUGCUCUCUGAAACAUGUGCUGUGUCCACUCAGGGUUAAAUGGAUUAAGGGCGGUGCAAGAUGUGCUUUGUUAAACAGAUGCUCGAAGGCAGCAUGCUUGUUAAGAGUCAUCACCACUCCCUAAUCUCAAGUACCCAGGGACACAAACACUGCGGAAGGCCGCAGGGUCCUCUGCCUAGGAAAACCAGAGACCUUUGUUCACAUGUUUAUCUGCUGACCUUCUGUCCACUAUUGUCCUAUGACUCUGACAUAUCCCCCUCUCUGAGAAACACCCAAGAAUGAUCAAUAAAUGCUAAAAAAAAAAAAAAGAAAAAAAAAGAGAGAGAGAGAUGGAGUCUUGCUCGGUCACCCAGGCUGGAGUGCAGUAGCGCAAUCUCAGGUCACUGCAACCUCUGCCUCCCAGGUUCAAGCAAUUCUCCUGCCUCAGCCUCCUGAGUACCUGGGAUUACAGGUGUGUGCUACCACAUCCGGCUAAUUUUUCUAUUUUUGGUAGAGACAAGGUUUCUCUAUGUUGGCCAGGCUGAUCUCGAACUCCUGACCUCAGGUGAUCUGCCCUCCUCGGCCUCCCAAAAUGCUGGAAUUACAGGCGUGAGCCACCGCACCCAGCCUGCUUAUUGAAUAUUUUUAAGAUAGUUGAUUUAACAUUUUUGUCUAGUACUUCCAAUGUCUGGACAGCUUCAGAAGUGACUUCUAUAAAAUUACCUUUUUUUUUUUUUUCCUGUGAAUGGGUCAUACUUUCCUGUUUCUUUGUAUGCUGUGUAAUUUUGUAUUGGA
rnacentral:lncRNA from 1 species